CAGCCCGGCAGUCACAGAGCAAAGACCGAACUCACUUGGGAAGGUUCAUACCAUUUUGAUUCGCCCGACAUGCCUGUCUUAGGCUAAAGGCUUAUAUAGGGAUCCCUGGUCUACGUCACCCUCUUGUGAACAUCUGCCAAAAUCCAUCUGCAACGCCCUUUGUGCAUGGUUCGACAAUGACAGCGAGCGAAGCUGAACGAAGGAAACUCCCAACGAUCUACGUGAAUUGCCUUGUUCUCCCAAAAAUUGUUUGUAACUACGUUAUUUUAAAGGCUUAUUUAUGUAAUAAAUAUCACAUUUAA